GCCUGGGUGGCUCAGUUGGUUAAGCACCAGACUUUAGCUCAGGCUCAGGUCAUGAUCUCACAGUUCGUGAGUUCAAGCCCUGCCUCAGGUU
rnacentral:tRNA from 1 species